GGGUCCUCGCGGCGCAGCGACCACUAGGACUAGGGUAGCCCCAGCCGCCCCCGUGCACCCAGGACGGUCGGAAGGAAUGGGUGGCAGCGCUCUGCCCAUAGGGACUCUGGUCGUGUUGAGGCCUCCCCUUGGCUGAGUCCAGCUGUGAGCCUGGAUCUCUGCAUGGGCCGUACCCCAGCUGCCGAUGUUGAUGGUGCCAAGGAGAUGAGCUGGGGACCAUUUGGGCAUCUGGGAGUGGCAGUUUUCAGAAUGGAUCUCUCUCUUGGCCACCAGGGUCUCCUGCCGUCCCCCUGCAUGGUGGGACCUGGAAGUGAGGCACUGCCAGGGGACUACCAUCCUGUGCCCACCAAGUUGGAGGGGCCACUCCUGGGAGGCUGGCACAUCACAUGGCCACAGUGACCCACAGAAAACCGCACAGCUGGUGGAGGGGCCACGCAGAGCCCCCAUCACUGUGGGGUGACCCCAUGAGCCCAAAUGGCCAUCAAGGCCUCUGUGUACCCCUCAGUCCCUGCUUCAAAGUGGCCAAUCUGGGCUGAGUGCACAUUCUCAGUCCUGACUCUGGUUGGAAUUCCGUGCCUCUCCUGAGUCUUAUGCUGUCAUCCAUCUUGAGGGUCCACAGGUUCUAGAAGCCCUGCAGUACCCUGGGGCCUGGCCAGGCCUUCCCGCCCGUUCCUCGAGGUCUCAGCACCUGCCUGCCACUCGGCCAAGGCCUGCUGCUCCCUGGUCUGCAGCUUCUCGGUCUUCGCCAUUUCCUCCCGCAGGUGCCCCAUGUCACCCUCCAGCUUCAGCUGCAGACAACAGACCGCGGGAUAGGAGUUGGAGGCCCCCUGCACACCCACUUCAGGAGGUGCCCUCUGAAGCUGCAUCAAAGGGAAUGGAAAUGCACCCCAUAGCCUGCCCCUUGGGCAUGAGAAUUAUUUUAAGCUGGAGGCAGAAAGACACCUUCCGAGGCUCCUGUUAUGUGACUAACAGCAGAAACUGCUGAGGAAUGAGGGUUGCCACAGGUCCGCCUCCCAGGGGAAGUUUUAUGGCUCUGAAGGAGGUGGAAAGUGGGACACCACUCUUUAACUUUAUUGUUUGUUGGUUUCCCCAAAGUACUUUCUGUUAUGAUCUGAAUGUUCAUGUCCCCCCAAAUUCACAUGUUCAAUCCUAACCCCGAAGGAGAUGGGGCCUUUGGGAGGUGAUGAGGUCAGAAAGGUGGAGCCCUCAGGAAUGGGGCUACUGCGGAAGAAGGGGCUGAGAGCUCCCAGCCCCCUUCCAUGUGAGGACAGUGGGAAGUUGGCUGUCUAUGAACUGGGAAGGAGCCCCCACCCGACUGUGCUGGUGCCCUGGUCUUGGACUUCCAGCCUCCAGAGCCAUGAGCAUGAAGUUCUUGCUGCUUAUAAGCCGCCCAGUCGUGUGUUCUGUGACAACAGCUGGAAUGGACAAGACACUUUCCCAGGUGCUGCCCUUGGGAGUCUGUCACCUUUCCCUUUGUCUCUUCUCUCUAAAUGUACUGUUCCUUGUUCAGAUGCUAAACAAAACCAUCCAGCCGGCCACACACAGUGCUGUGCUUUCUUCCUGUGAUGUGUGCGAGCCACAUGUGUUAACAGUGUGCUUUUCUCUCCUUGAUUUGUCUUUUCUCAGUCUGAUUUAGGGUGGAAGAAAAAGGCCCUUUCCUCCCCUACAAAGGGUCACCUGGCCGGCCCACACAGUGGCUUAGAGGCUACUUUUGUCAGCCUGGGCUCUAUAACUGUGGAGGGGAUGCUCAGCUGGCCCUGCCACCUACCUGCUUUAUUGUGGGAGUUACAGACACUUCACUGUGGGGUCCAGCAUUUGGGGCUGUUUGUUGCAGUGGUUGUUCUAUCUGACUGAUACACCCCUGGACACACAGACAUGCACUCAGACCUCCUUGACCCGUUGCCCUUCACCCCUGGGCCCACCUUGUGCUCCUUGACAGCCUCCUCCACCGGGACCACUCUGUGAGGCCGGUGUUCCUGGGACUCCCUGCAGACCACGCAGAUGGGGCUCUGGUCAUCUUCGCAAAAGAGUUUGAGCACCUCCUGGUGCACCUGGCACAGAUCCCUGCUCUGGAUGCCCGGGUGCUGUCGUGCCAUCUCAGCCACCUUGGUCAGCAGGCGGUUGGGCCGCAGGGUCCUCUGGGGGGACAGCUCGCGGCACUCGGGGCAGGGGAAGACACCCUUGCGCUUCCUCCUGCCCUUCUUGCCUUUGGCCUUCUCCCAGGUCAGCCGGAUGCACUCACGGCAGAAGUUGUGGCCACAGGUGGUCAUCACAGGGUCAGUGAAAUAGUCAAGGCAGAUGGAGCAUGUUGCCUCCUCCUGCAGCUUUCUGGAAAGUUCCACAGCAUCCAUGGCUCCUGGGAAAGAAACAGAGUAUCCGGCCACACCCUCUGCCCAGAACCCCAGGCACUUGAGGUGUCCUCUUGUGGACAGCACUGUACAUGGUCCUGUUAGGGCACCUGGUUUGUCUUCAGGAAGAGGCAUAGGUGCCUCUCUGAAAGCUGACAAAGACUCUCCACAACCGAAUUCAGCCAGGUUCCCCUAUGCUGCCACCUCUAUGCCUAGCCAUGCCCAGUUUUAUUCCAUUUAGAGCCCAUCCCACCCCUCCUAUGAUGACUGUGCAGGAAUCCUGCUAGUCAGUUCAGCAACAAGUCCCCUCCCCAUUUCUCUUCAUCGUGAUUUUCCAUCACUAACCCCCUCACCGUGCCCUGGCCAUCUUCCCUUUGUGUAGGCUACAGUAGGAGAUGACCCCAUCUUCCUCCCUAUUGCAAUAGUCUUGAAUAAAGUCUUCCUUACCGGUGUAA